rnacentral:lncRNA from 1 species
UUUAGGGGGAGCCUGUGAGCUUUGUGUGCUCUUUUGCUAUGUUGCUUGUGUUUAGUGGCAGCUUCUGAGCUUUGUGCUAGUUUUGUGCUCUCUUUUGCUCUUUUUGCCGGUUGUGUUGAGCUUUUACCUCUUCUUGAGGAACCGGCAUUUGGUUUGAGCUUUCGAUCAUCACAUGAUUAGUGUUGAGCCCUUUCUGCCUCUUCUUGAGGAAUCAUGUGUUCUUUGUCUCGGUUGUGUUGAGCCGUUGCCCAUGUCUUUGGGGACCAAGACUUUACUAAGUUAAUUUUUCCUUUGUGAUGUUUCUCAUGCCAAGUGACUUUAAUAUUUGCCUUUACAUAGCUUUCGAUCACUUGGACGAGAGUUUUGCCUAAUUGAUUUCACAACUUGGCUUUUACGCCUCUUCUCAUCUCAAGUGACUUUGAUCUUGGUUUUUAUUUGACUUUUGAUCACUUGGAAGAGAUUUUCGGCUUUUUCCUCUCAAACCAUUUCUUUGUGCUUGAAUGUUGUCAACACACUCAUCAAGGGGGAGAUUGAGAAAAUCAAGUUGAUAUGAACCUUGAUUUUAUAGUGAUAAGCGUUUGACAAAUGUUGAAAUGGCUUUGACGGCAUUUUGGGAUUCAUGAAGCUCUUGUGUCUUUUGCUUGACUCUUUGGUUGUCUUGUGGGAUUCAUCAAGGGGGAGAUUGAGAAAUGGUUGUCUGGAGCUUGCAUGAUCCCUUCUCAUAUCAAGUUGCCUUGUGUUUGCUUUUACUUGGCUUUUGGGCACUUGAAUGAGUUUUUCUUUUGCUUUCAAAUCAUCUUUUGUCAAUGCACUUAUCAAGGGGGAGAUUGAGAGACCAAGUUGAGAUGUGUCUUGGUAUAUUUGUGAUGAGUGAGACUAGAUGAUUUGAGGCUUUACCGGUUGAGUCCAUACUUCAUAUGUGCAUGAUUAUGCUAACGACGAACCGGAUGUGUUGUGUUUUGGUGUUUGUACAAAACAUAUCUUGUGUGUUAUGUCUCUUGACAUGUAAUGUGCAGGUGUAGGAUGCGACAUAGUGGUCGACGGCAUGAGGUGAAGGUCAAGCACGAAAUGUCCAUGCCGAUGUACUAGGGCUAUGAAGGGUGGACAUGAG